rnacentral:tRNA from 1 species
UGACUGUAUAUUUAGUUUCGACCUAAUCCUACUUGCUUUCAAGACAGUUAA